AGGAGAAGUCGUAACAAGGUCUCCGUAGGUGAACCUGCGGAAGGAUCAUUGUCGAUGCCUUACAUAUCUAACACGUGAAUAAGUUUGGACACAUAAGGUUGGCUUGAGAUGUUCAACACCUCGGCUGACCUCUGGUUUGGAGGUGGAUGUUGAAAUGCGUUCUCCUUUAUUGCCAAAACUCAAACCCCGGCGCUGAAUGCGUCAAGGAAUUUAAAAGUUGGUUUGAGCGCACCUGCAUGCAUCCGGAGACGGUUUUGCUUGUGGGUUGUGUUUUUACACAUGUUAUAGAAUGACUCUCGGCAACGGAUAUCUAGGCUCUUGCAUCGAUGAAGAACGUAGCGAAAUGCGAUACUUGGUGUGAAUUGCAGAAUCCCGUGAACCAUCGAGUCUUUGAACGCAAGUUGCGCCCAAUGCCAUUAGGUUGAGGGCACGUCUGCCUGGGUGUCACAUAUCGAAGCCUUUUGCCAAUUUCCUAUUCUUAGGUGUUGUGCAGGGUGAAUGUUGGCCUCCCGUGAGCUCUCUUGUCCCAUGGUUGGUUGAAAAUUGAUGCCUCGGUAGCGUGAGCCAUGAUAGAUGGUGGUUGUGCGACCCACAAAACCAAAUCAUGUGCCUGCUCUAUCGAAUUUUACCCACAUGCGUUAAUAAACGCUCGUGAUGAGACCUCAGGUCAGGCGGGGCUACCCGCUGAA
rnacentral:rRNA from 1 species